rnacentral:lncRNA from 1 species
AGCUCCUUAUCUGAUCGAACUAAAACUUAUUUUGCAUCUCCUGUCACAUGGUGAGGCCAAAAACAAUAUCCACAUCUAUGUAACAAACAAAAAACUGAUCAAAUAGAACAAAAGGGAACCAAUCACCAAACCAGAACCGCUUUUCCUUCAAAAAUGGUGAAGAACCACACAAAGAUCCAUCUGAAAUGGAAGUGCAUAAACAAUAAGCAAGGGGAAAGCCCAGGAAGAAGACAAUGACAGUAGAAAAAUAUUAUACUCCCUCUACAAUGCUUCACGUCCAACAACCAGACCAAGAUAGCCCCACCUUAAGCUCCGACUUUGGUAGAAUCAAAACUUAUUUUGUAUCUCCUGUCAAAGGGUGGGACCAAAAACAAUAUACACAUGUACGUAACAAACAAAAAAUAGAUUAAACAGAGCAAAAGGGAACCAAGCACCAAACCAGAACCGCCUUCCCACGAGAACUGGUUAAUUAGAACCCAAAGAUCAAACAUUUGAAGAUUAAAGAGCAUAACAAUAAGCAAAGGGAAAAAGUUCACCUAGAAGAUAAAUCACAAUAGAAAAAUAAUAUACUCCUGUUGACACCCACCAUAAACACUAUACCAAUGGCAGCAUCCAAGAUUGGUCCAUAUCCAAAUAACCAGACCAAGAUAGCCUCACCUUAAAUACCUAACUUUGAUGGAAUCAAAACCAAUUUUGUAUCUCCUGACACAGGGUGAGGCAGAAAACAAGGUCCAAGUCUACGUAACAAAAUAAAACUAUAAUAGAGAGCAAAGAUAACCAAGGAUCAAACCAGAACAGUCUUCCACAGAAGCCUGAUUAAGAAACACACAACGAUCCGGCAUCUGGAAAUUGAAAAGAAUAACGAUAAGCAAGGGAAAGUUUAGGUAGAAUAUAAAAUUUAGUAAAAAAGUUACAAUACUAUACUCCCUAUGCAACCCUUGAUAAACACUAUAUCAAUGACAGCGUCAAAGGUUGCUCCGUGUCCAACAAUCAGACCAAGAUUGCACCACCAUAAGCUCCUACUUUGAUAGAAUCAAAACUUAAUUUAUAUUUUGUGUCAUAGGGUGAUGCAGAAAACAAUAUCCACGCCAACGUAACAAACAAAAAACUGAUGAAAGAGAAAAAAGAUAACAAAGCAUCAAACCGAACAGCCUUCCAAUUAAGAACCACAACGAUCAGAAAUCUGAAAAUUGAAGAGUAUAACGACAAGCACCGGAAACUCUAGGUAGAAGAGAAAAUAUAGUAGAAGAAAAUGUAGUAUAACAAUCUGCAUCCCUCAAUAAACAUUAUAUCAAUUGACAUCUUAUAUUAGUCCGCAUCCAACAACCCCACCAAGUUGGCCCCCACCUUAAGCUCCCACUUUGAUAGAAUAAAACUGAAUUUGUAUCUCCUGUCACAGGGUGAGGGCGAAAAAAAUAUCAAAGUCUACGUAACAAAAAAAAAAAAACUAUAAUAGAGAACACAGACAACCAAGCGUCAAACAAGAACUGCCUUUCAGAGAAGCUUGAUUAAGAACAAAACAGCAACCAAAGAUUUGUCCAUGUCCAAAAACCAGACCAAGAUAGCCCCCACCUUAAGCUCCUACUUUGAUAGAAUCAAAACCUAUUUUGUAUCUCCUGUCACAGGGUGAGGCUGAAAACAACAUCCAAGUCUACAUAACAGCAAAAGAACUAUAAUUGAGAGAGCAAAGAUAACCAAUUAUCAAACCCGAACUGCCUUCCAGUUAAACUUGAUUAAGAACCACAUAAUGAACAGGCAUCUGGAAAUGGAAGAGAGACUAACAAUAACCACAGGAAAGUCUAGAUGGAAGAUAAAUUGUAGUAGAAAAAAAUACUAUAUUAUACUCCCUCUGCCAUCCUCGAUAAACACUAUAAUUGACAGCGUCAAAGGUUGAUCUGUGGCCAAUAUAACUAAACCAAGAUUAGCCCCACCUUGAGCUCCUACUUUGAUAAAAUCAAAACAAAAUUUUUAUCAUCUGCCAUAGGAUGAGGCAGAAAUACAAUAUACACGUAUACGUAACAAACAAAAAAACUGAUGAUAGAGAGAAAAGAUAAACCCAGCAUCAAACCAGAAGUGCCUUCAAGUAAAGAACACCUGGAAAUUGAAGAGUAUAACGAUAAGUAUAGGAAACUCAAGGUAAAAGAGAAAACGUAAAAAAAAAAAAAAUAACUAUACUGUACACCAUCUGCCACCCUCGACAAACACUAUAUCAAUGAUGGCAUCAUAGAUUAGUCCAUAUCCAAAAACCAGACCAAGAUAACCCCCACCUUAAGCUUCAACUUUGAUAGAAUCAAAACCUAUUUUGUCUCCUGGCACAGGGUGAGGACCAAAACAUUGUCCAAGUCUACAUAACAAAUAAACAAUAAUUACAGAGCAAAGGUGACCAAUUAGCAAACCAGAACAGCCUUCCCGUGAAGCUUGAUUAAAAACCACACAGCGAUCAGGCAUCUGGAAAUUGAUGAGAACAACGGUAAGCAUGGGAAAGUCUAGGUAGAAGAUAAAAGAUAGUAAAAAAAAAAAAAACUAUUCUAUACUCUCUUUGCCAGGCCCACACCACUAUAUCAAUGACAGCAUCAAAGGUAGAUCCGUGUUCAAUAACCAGGCCAACAUUAGCCACACCAUAAGCUCCUUCUUUCAAAACUUAAUUUUUAUCUCCUAUCAUAGGGUGAGGCAGAGAACAAUAUCCACGUCUACAUAACAACAAAAAAUUGUUGAAACUGACAAAAGAUAACCAAGAAAACAAGAAGUGCCAUCCAUUAUGGAAAUUGAAGAGUAUAACUAUAAACACGGGAAACUCUAGGUAGAAGAGAAAAUGUAGUAGAAAAAAAAAAUACUAUUAUGUAUUUCCUUUGCGACCCUCGAUUUACAAUAUACCAAUGAUAACAUCAAAGAUCUGUCCGCGUCCAAAAACCAGACCAAGAUAGCCCCCACAUUAAGCUCCUACAGUGAUGGAAUCAAAACCUAUUUUGUAUCUCCUGUCACAGGGUAGGCCCAAAACAAUAUCCAAGUCUAUAUAACAACAAAAGAAAUAUAAUAGAGAGAUCAAAUGCAACCAAUUAUGAACCCAGAACUGCCUUCCAGUUAAGCUUGAUUAAGAACCACACAACGAUCAGGCAUCUGGAAAUUGAAGAGAAUAACAAUAAGCACGGGAAAGUCAAGAUGGAAGAUAAAUUGUAGCAGAAUUAAUACAAUACUAUACUCCCUCUGACACCCUCGAUAAACAUUAUAUCAGUGACAGCAUCAAAAGUUGAUAUGUCUCCAAUAACUAGACCAAGAUUAGCCCCACCAUAAGCUGCUUCUUUCACAACUUAAUUUUUAACCCCUGUCACAAGGUGAGGCAGAAAACAAUAUCCACGUCUACGUAACAAAUAAAAGAUUGUUGAAACUGACAAAAGAUAACCAAGCAUACCAGAAGUGCCUUCCAGUUAAGAACCACACAACAAUCAGACAUCUGGAAAUUGAAGAGUAUAACUAUUAGCACGGGAAACUCUAGGUAGAAGAGAAAAUGUAGUAGAAAAAAAAUACUAUUAUGUACUCCAUGUACUCCCUUUACCACCCACAUUAAACUAUAUCAAUGACAGCAUGAAGGAUUUGUCAGUGUACCAAAAACCAGACCAAGACACGCCCCCACCUUAAGCUCCUACUUUGAUAGAAUCAGAACCUAUUUUGUAUCUCCUAUCACAGGGUGAGGCUGAAACCAACAUCGAGUCUAAAUAACAACAAAAGAACUACAAUAGAGAGAGCAAAGGUAACCAACUAUCAAACCCGAACUGCCGUCCAGUAAGCUUGAUUAAGAACCACACAACGAUCGGGCAUCUGGAAAUGGAAGAGAAUAACGAUAAGCACCGGAAGGUCUAGAUGGAAGAUAAAUUGUAUUAGAAGAAAUACUAUACUAACUCCCUCUGCCACCCUCGAAAAACAUAUCAUGACCAUCAAAGGAUUGAUUGUGUGCAAUAACUGACUAAGAUUAGCCCUACCUUAAGCCCUACUUUGAUAAAAUUAAAACUUAAUUUUUAUCUCAUGUCAUAGGGUGGGGCAGAAAACAAUAUCACGUCUAUGUACAAACAAAAAUUGUUGAAAUGACAAAAGAUAACCAAACAUCAAACCAGAAGUGUCAUCCAGUUAAGAACCACCCCACGAUCAGACAUCUGGAAAUUGAAGAGUAUAUCUAUAAGCACGGGAAACUCUAGGUAGAAGAGAAAAUGUAUAGAAAUAAAAAUACUAUUAUGUACUCCCUUUGCCACCCUCGAUUAACACAAUAUCAAUGACUCAUCAAAGAUCUGUCCGCGUCCAAAAACCAGACCAAGAUAGCCCCCACAUUAAGCUCCUACAGUGAUGGAAUCAAAACCUAUUUUGUAUCUCCUGUCACAGGGUAGGCCCAAAACAAUAUCCAAGUCUAUAUAACAACAAAAGAAUAUAAUAGAGAGAUCAAAUGCAACCAAUUAUGAACCCAGAACUGCCUUCCAGUUAAGCUUGAUUAAGAACCAAACAACGAUCAGGCAUCUGGAAAUCGAAGAGAAUAACAAUAAGCACGGGAAAGUCAAGAUGGAAGAUAAAUUGUAGCAGAAUUAAUACAAUACUAUACUCCCUCUGACACCCUCGAUAAACAUUAUAUCAGUGACAGCAUCAAAAGUUGAUGUCUCCAGUAACUAGACCAAGAUUAGCCCCACCAUAAGCUGCUUCUUUCACAACUUAAUUUUUAACUCCUGUCACAAGGUGAGGCAGAAAACAAUAUCCACGUCUACGUAACAAAUAAAAGAUUGUUGAAACUGACAAAAGAUAACCAAGCAUACCAGAAGUGCCUUCCAGUUAAGAACCACACAACAAUCAGACAUCUGGAAAUUGAAGAGUAUAACUAUUAGCACGGGAAACUCUAGGUAGAAGAGAAAAUGUAGGUAGAAAAAAAAUACUAUUAGUACUCCCUUUACCACCCACUAUUAACACUAUAUCAAUGACAGCAUGAAGGAUUUGUCAGUGUCCAAAAACCAGACCAAGACAGCCCCCACCUUAAGCUCCUACUUGAUAGAAUCAGAACCUAUUUUGUAUCUCCUAUCACAGGGUGAGGCUGAAACCAACAUCCGAGUCUAAAUAACAACAAAAGAACUACAAUAGAGAGAGCAAAGGUAACCAACUAUCAAACCCGAACUGCCGUCCAGUUAAGCUUGAUUAAGAACCACACAACGAUCGGGCAUCUGGAAAUGAAGAGAAUAACGAUAAGCACCGGAAGGUCUAGAUGGAAGAUAAAUUGUAUAGAAGAAAUACUAUACUAUACUCCCUCUGCCACCCUCGAUAAACACACUAUAUAGUGACCACGUCAAAGGAUUGACUUGUGUGCAAUAACUUGACUAAGAUUAGCCCUACCUUAAGCUCCUACUUGAUAAAAUUAAAACUUAAUUUUUAUCUCAUGUCAUAGGGUGGGGCAGAAAACAAUAUCCACGUCUAUGUAGCAAACAAAAUUGUUGAACUGACAAAAGAUAACCAAACAUCAAACAGAAGUGUCUCCAGUUAAGAACCACCCCACGAUCAGACAUCUGGAAAUUGAAGAGUAUAUCUAUAAGCACGGGAAACUCGAGGUAGAAGAGAAAAUGUAGUAGAAUAAAAAUACUAUUAUGUACUCCCUUUGCCACCCUCGAUUAACACAAUAUCAAUGACUACAUCAAAGAUCUGUCGCGUCCAAAAACCAGACCAAGAUAGCCCCCACAUUAAGCUCCUACAGUGAUGGAAUCAAAACCUAUUUUGUAUCUCCUGUCACAGGGUAGGCUCAAAACAAUAUCCAAGUCUAUAUAACAACAAAAGAAAUAUAAUAGAGAGAUCAAAUGCAACCAAUUAUGAACCCAGAACUGCCUUCCAGUUAAGCUUGAUUAAGAACCAAACAACGAUCAGGCAUCUGGAAAUCGAAGAGAAUAACAAUAAGCACGGGAAAGUCAAGAUGGAAGAUAAAUUGUAGCAGAAUUAAUACAAUACUAUACUCCCUCUGACACCCUCGAUAAACAUUAUAUCAGUGACAGCAUCAAAAGUUGAUAGUCUCCAUAACUAGACCAAGAUUAGCCCCACCAUAAGUGCUUCUUUCACAACUUAAUUUUUAACCCCUGUCACAAGGUGAGGCAGAAAACAAUAUCCACGUCUACGUAACAAAUAAAAGAUUGUUGAAACUGACAAAAGAUAACCAAGCAUACCAGAAGUGCCUUCCAGUUAAGAACCACACAACAUCAGACAUCUGGAAAUUGAAGAGUAUAUCUAUAGCACGGGAAAUUCUAGGUAGAAGAGAAAAUGUAGUAGAAAAAAAAUACUAUUAUGUACUCCCUUUCCACCCCGAUUAAACAUAUCAAUGACCAUAAGAUUGUCGGUCCAAAAACCAGACCAAGACAGCCCCCACCUUAAGCUCCUACUUUGAUAGAAUCAGAACCUAUUUUGUAUCUCCUAUCACAGGGUGAGGCUGAAACCAACAUCGAGUCUAAAUAACAACAAAAGAACUACAAUAGAGAAAGCAAAGGUAACCAACUAUCAAACCCGAACUGCCGUCCAGUUAAGCUUGAUUAAGAACCACACAACGAUCGGGCAUCUGGAAAUGGAAGAGAAUAACGAUAAGCACCGGAAGGUCUAGAUGGAAGAUAAAUUGUAUUAGAAGAAAUACUAUCUAUACUCCCUCUGCCACCCUCGAUAAACACACUAUAUCAGUGACCACGUCAAAGGAUUGACUUGUGUGCAAUAACUUGACUAAGAUUAGCCCUACUUAAGCUCCUACUUUGAUAAAAUUAAAACUUAAUUUUUAUCUCAUGUCAUAGGGUGGGGCAGAAAACAAUAUCCACGUCUAUGUACAAACAAAAUUGUUGAAAUGACAAAAGAUAACCAAACAUCAAACCAGAAG